rnacentral:rRNA from 1 species
UAGUCGAUGGGAAACGGGUUAAUAUUCCCGUACUUGGUGUUACUGCGAAGGGGGGACGGAGAAGGCUAUGUUGGCCGGGCGACGGUUGUCCCGGUUUAAGCGUGUAGGUGUGUGUUCCAGGUAAAUCCGGUUCACUUUAACACUGAGGCGUGACGACGAGGCACUACGGUGCUGAAGCAACAAAUGCCCUGCUUCCAGGAAAAGCCUCUAAGCAUCAGGUAACAUCAAAUCGUACCCCAAACCGACACAGGUGGUCAGGUAGAGAAUACCAAGGCGCUUGAGAGAACUCGGGUGAAGGAACUAGGCAAAAUGGUGCCGUAACUUCGGGAGAAGGCACGCUGACACGUAGGUGAAGUGAUUUACUCAUGGAGCUGAAGUCAGUCGAAGAUACCAGCUGGCUGCAACUGUUUAUUAAAAACACAGCACUGUGCAAACACGAAAGUGGACGUAUACGGUGUGACGCCUGCCCGGUGCCGGAAGGUUAAUUGAUGGGGUCAGCGCAAGCGAAGCUCCUGAUCGAAGCCCCGGUAAACGGCGGCCGUAACUAUAACGGUCCUAAGGUAGCGAAAUUCCUUGUCGGGUAAGUUCCGACCUGCACGAAUGGCGUAAUGAUGGCCAGGCUGUCUCCACCCGAGACUCAGUGAAAUUGAACUCGCUGUGAAGAUGCAGUGUACCCGCGGCAAGACGGAAAGACCCCGUGAACCUUUACUAUAGCUUGACACUGAACAUUGAGCCUUGAUGUGUAGGAUAGGUGGGAGGCUUUGAAGUGUGGACGCCAGUCUGCAUGGAGCCGACCUUGAAAUACCACCCUUUAAUGUUUGAUGUUCUAACGUGGACCCGUAAUCCGGGUUGCGGACAGUGUCUGGUGGGUAGUUUGACUGGGGCGGUCUCCUCCUAAAGAGUAACGGAGGAGCACGAAGGUUGGCUAAUCCUGGUCGGACAUCAGGAGGUUAGUGCAAUGGCAUAAGCCAGCUUGACUGCGAGCGUGACGGCGCGAGCAGGUGCGAAAGCAGGUCAUAGUGAUCCGGUGGUUCUGAAUGGAAGGGCCAUCGCUCAACGGAUAAAAGGUACUCCGGGGAUAACAGGCUGAUACCGCCCAAGAGUUCAUAUCGACGGCGGUGUUUGGCACCUCGAUGUCGGCUCAUCACAUCCUGGGGCUGAAGUAGGUCCCAAGGGUAUGGCUGUUCGCCAUUUAAAGUGGUACGCGAGCUGGGUUUAGAACGUCGUGAGACAGUUCGGUCCCUAUCUGCCGUGGGCGCUGGAGAACUGAGGGGGGCUGCUCCUAGUACGAGAGGACCGGAGUGGACGCAUCACUGGUGUUCGGGUUGUCAUGCCAAUGGCACUGCCCGGUAGCUAAAUGCGGAAGAGAUAAGUGCUGAAAGCAUCUAAGCACGAAACUUGCCCCGAGAUGAGUUCUCCCUGAGACUUAAAGUCUCCUGAAGGAACGUUGAAGACGACGACGUUGAUAGGCCGGGUGUGUAAGCGCAGUGAUGCGUUGAGCUAACCGGUACUAAUGAACCGUGAGGCUUAACCUUACAACGCCGAAG